rfam:Berkelbacteria bacterium GW2011_GWA2_46_7 TX60_C0041, whole genome shotgun sequence.
UCAUAUUCUGCUAGAGUAAAAAAGAACAUGAGAAGUCAGCAGCGUCGUAGUACUCCGCUACGCUUGAAAGAGCGAAGUGGGGGAAGGAC